AUUGAACGCUGGCGGCAGGCUUAACACAUGCAAGUCGAGCGGGGUGAUGGUGCUUGCACUAUCACUUAGCGGCGGACGGGUGAGUAAUGCUUAGGAAUCUGCCUAUUAGUGGGGGACAACAUCUCGAAAGGGAUGCUAAGAUCGCAUACGUCCUACGGGAGAAAGCAGGGGAUCACUUGUGACCUUGCGCUAAUAGAUGAGCUAACGUCGGAUUAGCUAGUUGGUGGGGUAAAGGCCUACCAAGGCGACGAUCUGUAGCGGGUCUGAGAGGAUGAUCCGCCACACUGGGACUGAGACUCGGCCCAGACUCCUACGGGAGGCAGCAGUGGGGAAUAUUGGACAAUGGGGGGAACCCUGAUCCAGCCAUGCCGCGUGUGUGAAGAAGGCCUUAUGGUUGUAAAGCACUUUAAGCGAGGAGGAGGCUCUUUUGGUUAAUACCCAAGAUGAGUGGACGUUACUCGCAGAAUAAGCACCGGCUAACUCUGUGCCAGCAGCCGCCGUAA
rnacentral:rRNA from 1 species